AGUGACACAUCUUGGGACAUAAUCCGCUGGCCACGUUCUUCUAGCCUGAUGUGCAAAAGUAACAAGUUUCUGUGCGUAUGUGUGCGUGUGUGUGUUUUGUAAAAUCUGUAAAUACCACAUGACCAAAUGAACAUAUUGUAUAGAACUGUUUUUAUUUUUAAUGUGGCACUAACCACCAUCAUUCUAUUGAGAUAAAUGUUAGCGCAUGAUGUUGUGUUUCCCCCCCUCCAAAUUGAGUCCUGUACCAACAAUGUGUAAGUUCAUUAACAGUCCUAACUGUGUGGUGUUUCUCUCCAAUGCCUACCAACAUUCAUCGACUGAACAAAACUGGAGUAAUCACUUAGCCCUAAGCAAAUUUUGCAGAAACGUAAGAUUAAUUUUUUUGUUGUGUGCAUGCGUCUUUAGCUACGCAUCUACCGAAAACAUCUGCAUGAGUCUUGUAAAAGAAAACAGAAACAAAAUUCUUUCCCUAGGGAGGGAGGAAAAAAUAGAACUGAAAACUCGUGUUCUGUGAAGGAAGUGUGUGGUGCUCUGUAAGCUUCGAUUCAUAUACAGAUCUACAAAUGUGCAAUACAGUUUUUAACUGAUAAAACAGACCUCUGCAAGGAAGUUUUGGGGUUCUUUGCUGCAUGAAGACAACAAUCUCCCUAAACUACUAAGCAAGAAUUAAAGAGUGGUGAUCGGCCAAGUUUUAUUCUCCUUUUUCAUAUUUCGUUGUGUAAAAUGUCAUAGUUGAUAAAAUGUACAAUAUUGGACUGUAAUGCAUGCUUUUCAGUUGUAAGUAGCCAAUAAUCUCUAUUGUAUCUUAACAUACCACUUUAAACAGCUCUGUACAAUAUGCAAUCCUAUUUAUACAGGUUCAUUGACAACGGUACUGUUGUUGAAUGUUUGAGAAAUUGUUAAAAACCUUCAAUUCCAUAACUUCAGCUUUUAAAAAAUACCUUGGAGUGUGCAAAUAGACUUAUUUUGCACUGUAAUAAUGUAACUUAUUUAAAUCUAAAGCCGUAGACACACAUUGGUGCAAUACACAUGUUGUGAUGGCGUUUUAUCAUAACAGCAACAGAAGCCUAAUAAUGAACUUAGUUCAUCAAGCAGCAUGUGUGACUUUUUUUUUAGAAGUUGUAAAUAACAUUGGUUGUUCUGAUUCAAUGCUGACAAUAAUGAGCAUCACACCUACUGUCCUGGUUUCAGGUAAAAUAAACUUAUUCUAUGAUA